UGGCUGUAGCUAAAUUGAUUUCAAAAGAAGUUUACUGGCCGGUUGUUGUGAAUUUCAGUCAACAAAUCUGCUUACCGAACUUCUUAUAUUU